AAGUGCAGUGCAACAAAGUCCAUUGACAUUGUUUUGUUAACCUGAUCCAUAUAGAAUUAAAGAGUGAUAACAAAAGAAAAAAGAAGAAGAAGAAGAAAGAGUGAUAAUUUUUUUUUUUUUUUUUUUUUUUUGAAAGAGUGAUAACAUAUAUGGGUGAACUAGGUGUAUAGCCAUAAUUGAACAAAAAUUAAGAAUAUAGCCAUAUAAUUUACGUAAUUCAGCAAGUAACCAAAAACUCUAACUAAUUACAAGUCUAUCCCUGCAUUAUUUCCCUAUUUUCCAAUUUGCCAUGACUCAUCAUCUUCUUCGUUUUGUUGAUCAGAUAUUGAUCUAAAGGUAAUAUUCCAUAUGUUCUAAAGGUAAUGGAUUGUGAAUCAGAUAUUGAUCUAAAGGUAAUGUUUUUUUAACAGACCUUUUUCAUUCAUCAUCUUCUUUGUUGCUUCUUCUCUUCUCUCCAAUCCAACAAAAAAUUUCCAGAAAAUUUAACUUUUUUAUAUCAAUCCAUUCUAAUUUAAAAACAUCUAUUGAUUUAAGAAAACUAAACCCUAAGAUACUAUAUAUGGAACCCAAACAAAAAUAAUUAAACUAAAUGAAAUCAUCUCAAGAAUCAGUUUUUAGAAAUCUGACAAAAUCAUGUUUAUAUACUUUUAAUCUCUUUUCUCCUUUCCUAAAGCGAAUUGAAAUCGAUUCGAUUUUGGGUUUAAAUUUGUGUUAGGGAUUUUCAAUUUUAGAUAUUGAUCAAACCAGAAAAUAUUCAAUAAGAUCUUGUGAGUCUUCGUUUUCAUUUUUUUCCGUUCUAACUAGCAAAUAGAAUGGUACAAAAUUGAAAGUAAAAUAGAAAACUAUAGUUCGGUUCUGUUUUAAUUAAGUUAAAGUAGAAAAAAAAGAUAAGAGGCGAGAGAAGUGAAACAAGCAAUGGAAGAGAGGAAGAAGUGAUUAAGGUGGUGGUGGUGUGUAUGGUGUAGGUCGUAGUAAUAUUUGUGUUGGUGGUUGCAGUGGUCGUGUGUCAAUUGCGGCGGCAAUAAUGGUGAUGGUGGUUGAGAUGACAGCGUAAUGGUAGUUUCUAUGGUGGUGACGAUUGCAGUGGUGAUGGUGAUGAUGGUAUGACAUUUGUGGAAAUAAUGGUGGAUGCGAUGAUGAUGACGGUUGCAAGGGUAAUGGUUGUAAUAGCAUAAAAAAGAUGGUGAUUGUGUAGAUAAGAGUACUUUAGUAUAUAUUAUAGUUUAUAUACAAAAUAUCAUCUCUGUUUUUGUUGUUGGUUAGUUUCUUAAUUAUAGUUUUUUUGUUAGUCAAUUUUGCAAAUUUCCCGACAUAUAAUCGUGUUUCAUUCAAUCCAUUUUGUUCAACGACGAAACAAUCCCGUUACCUAGAAAAAUGUGGUCCUUUUACCUGGUGA
rnacentral:sRNA from 1 species